UGGGGAAUUUUGGACAAUGGGCGAAAGCCUGAUCCAGCCAUGCCGCGUGCAGGAUGAAGGAACCUUCGGGUUGUAAACUGCUUUUGUACGNAACGAANNAGANUCNUGGUUAAUACCUGGGGUCCAUGACGGUACCGUAAGAAUAAGCACCGGCUAACUACGUGCCAGCAGCCGCGGUAAUACGUAGGGUGCAAGCGUUAAUCGGAAUUACUGGGCGUAAAGCGUGCGCAGGCGGUUAUAUAAGACAGAUGUGAAAUCCCCGGGCUCAACCUGGGCACUGCAUUUGUGACNUGUAUAGCUAGA
rnacentral:rRNA from 1 species